UACGGGGGGGGCAAGCGUUGUUCGGAAUUACUGGGCGUAAAGGGCUCGUAGGCGGCCAACUAAGUCAUACGUGAAAUCCCUCGGCUUAACCGGGGAACUGCGUCUGAUACUGGAUGGCUUGAGUUCGGGAGAGGGAUGCGGAAUUCCAGGUGUAGCGGUGAAAUGCGUAGAUAUCUGGAGGAACACCUGUGGUGUAGACAGCUUACUGGACCACUUCUGACGCUGAGACACGAAAGCGUGGGUAGCAAACAGG
rnacentral:rRNA from 1 species